UACGGGGGGAGCAAGCGUUGUUCGGAUUUACUGGGCGUAAAGGGCGCGUAGGCGGUGCGGUAAGUCUUUUGUGAAAUCUCCGGGCUCAACUCGGAGUCUGCAGGAGAAACUGCCGUGCUUGAGUGUGGGAGAGGUGAGUGGAAUUCCCGGUGUAGCGGUGAAAUGCGUAGAUAUCUGGAGGAACACCGGUGGCGAAGGCGGCGUUCUGGACUGCAACUGACACUGAGGAACGAAAGCCAGGGGAGCAAACGGG
rnacentral:rRNA from 1 species